GAACCAGAAAGACAUGAUUGUAACCAAAUUUAGCAAGCAACCAAAAAUGAAAAUACAACCCAUAUUUUAAAAUCCAUUUCAACAGCUCCACCCCACUGAAGGGAAGAUCUUUCUGGGCCAUGUGGGUGAGGGAUGAGCAGCAGAAGCAAGUGGAAAGGACAGCUACCAUGUCAUGGGCUUGGGGACAGAAGAGAGACAACACCAGAUUUUCAUGAAGAAAAACCAAGAUCCUCCUUGUUGCUUCUGAUGCUACUGUGGCCCGCAGGCUGUCUCUGGGACCGAGCCACUAGGAGACUUUGCUCAGCUUUCACUCUCCCUGCCUCAGCGAGCAUACCCUGGUGUCCCAGGGAUUCUGUGUCCCCACCUUGUUUCAUGUAAUCCUGCCAAGCCUCAGAGGUUGGUACCAGCAAAGUCAUUAUUUCACAAGGGAGGAAACUGAGGAUCAGAAGAGUUGAGCGAGUUGCCCAAAGUCGAAGUAUGAACCUCUGCUAAUCCCAACUUCUUUUCAAUAUAUCAUUUAAAAAAAAGUCACACUUGUUCCUUG
rnacentral:lncRNA from 1 species